UGUGGGAGCUGGCUUGCCUGCGAUGGCCUCACCCCGGUGCUCCAGAUGUACCGUGGUGAUGCCAUCGCAGGCAAGCCAGCUCCCACA
rnacentral:antisense_RNA from 1 species